rnacentral:rRNA from 1 species
UGGGGAAUUUUGGACAAUGGGCGAAAGCCUGAUCCAGCAAUGCCGCGUGUGUGAAGAAGGCCUUCGGGUUGUAAAGCACUUUUGUCCGGAAAGAAAUCCUUGGCUCUAAUACAGUCGGGGGAUGACGGUACCGGAAGAAUAAGCACCGGCUAACUACGUGCCAGCAGCCGCGGUAAUACGUAGGGUGCAAGCGUUAAUCGGAAUUACUGGGCGUAAAGCGUGCGCAGGCGGUUUGCUAAGACCGAUGUGAAAUCCCCGGGCUCAACCUGGGAACUGCAUUGGUGACUGGCAGGCUAGAGUAUGGCAGAGGGGGGUAGAAUUCCACGUGUAGCAGUGAAAUGCGUAGAGAUGUGGAGGAAUACCGAUGGCGAAGGCAGCCCCCUGGGCCAAUACUGACGCUCAUGCACGAAAGCGUGGGGAGCAAACAGGAUUAGAUACCCUGGUAGUCCACGCCCUAAACGAUGUCAACUAGUUGUUGGGGGAUUCAUUUCCUUAGUAACGUAGCUAACGCGUGAAGUUGACCGCCUGGGGAGUACGGUCGCAAGAUUAAAACUCAAAGGAAUUGA